UACGAGGGGUGCAAGCGUUGCUCGGAAUUAUUGGGCGUAAAGGGUAGGUAGGUGGUCUCAUUUGUCAGGGGUGAAAGCCUUGGGCUUAACCCAAGAAGUGCCCCUGAAACGGUGAGACUAGGGUGCUGGAGAGGGUCGUGGAAUUCCCGGUGUAGCGGUGAAAUGCGUAGAGAUCGGGAGGAACACCAGAGGCGAAGGCGGCGACCUGGACAGCUACUGACACUCAACUACGAAAGCGUGGGGAGCAAACAGG
rnacentral:rRNA from 1 species